UGAAGAGCAGAGAAUUGCAAGUGGCUGCCAUCUCUGGUGGCCCACAGAGUUCCCAAGACCUGUCAGUAGUUGCUUGCUCUGAGCAGCUGCUGGUAUUCAAAGCCAUUAACACUCACAGAGCUCCCCUGUGCCAAUUCAGGAUUCCUAUACAAAUUAAUGAGAAUCGUCAGCUGAUAACCGGUAACAUCUCUGAAGCUUGCACUGGAACCUCUUUGUAGAAGCUAUCAGCCGACUUGAGAACCAGCUCACAGCCGUGCAUGGUGGCCCAGGCCUGUGAGCCUAGCACAUGGGAGGCUGAGGCAGGAGGACCACUGUGAGUUCAAGGCCAGCCUAGACUACAUAGUGAGACCAGGCUAGCCAGUAAUAGUUGCAGUACCACAUGUGCAGUAUGAACAAUUUGUGUAAAAAACAAAAACAAAAAUUACUAUUUCAGUAGGACUAUAUCUGGGGAAAAUGAUGUAUAUAAGAACACGCUCAAUUUUAAGAGGAGCUUUAAGUGGGGGAGACAUGGAUUUGUAGUUAGGAAGGAUUUUCUCUUUACUUGAUUUUUUGAAACAAAAUUUUAAUUCUGGAAUAAUCUUAGACUUAAAAAUAAAAGGUAGGGGGCCUGGGGAUAGAGAUCAGUGUCACAGUACCUGCCUGACAAGAGGGAGGUCCUGCGUUCAGCUUCAAGUACCCACGCAUAUACAAAAAGUAGCAAAGGUGGUACCCAGUUCCUAUUUGCCCUCACCCGCUGUUGUUUCCACUACUGUUAACAUCUUACAUUAACAGGGACAAUCGUCAAAAUCAGCUGCACCCCAGGCUUCAUGCAGACUGCACUAAAUGUCCCCUCAUGUUCUUUCUCUGUCACAGGCCUUAGUGCAGGACAUCUAGGCCAUCAUGUCUGACCUGCCUUCUUUGUACUGAGGCCGUUUCUCCAUUUGUCCUUCUUUGUUGGGACCGAACAUCUCGAGAGGUACACUCAGGUCCUCAGUACGGGUUUGUCUGAUGCUUUCCUCUUGACUACACAAGGACCACAGGUGUGGGACAAGCUCCCCACAGAGGCGAGGUGUCCUCAUCACAGCCCACCAGGGCACAUGGUGCCAUGGGACUUGCAGCUGGUGAAGGAGCUUUGAGUACUUCGUGAGGAGCAUCCUGCAGGCGUGAGGUCAUUGUCCUGCCCCAGAGGUGUGUCACUCCAUCUGGAAAGACUGGGAGAGGAUCCGGAAGGGCGAGGAGUCUGCUCAUCCUAUUCAGAAGUCUUCUCUGAGAAGGAUUUGUCCCUUUGCUGUCACUUAUUUAGUUUAUUUAAAUCAGUAUGGACUCAUGCAUAUUUACUUUACACACUGGAUUGUAUCUAGUCUGCAUGUUGUUUUGCAGUGAAGAUAAACUCACACCAAAUGCAUUUUUUAAUGUGGGAAACAAAGCACUACUCUAGCUGGGGAUUUAGCUCAGCGGCAUAAGCACCUACCCAGCAAGCGCCAGGUUAUGAGUUUGAUUCCCCAGCACCAAAAAAACAAAACAAAACAAACAAAAAACCCAAAUCACUACACUGUGUGAGAAACAAGUUCUAUCGCAGGCAGCAUCUCUCCUCUACAGCUCUCAUGACUGACCACGGCAGGAUCCUUUAGGAGCUAGCAACUUCAGACAAGUCCUUUUGACCUUCCUUCUUAUUUCCCGUCUAAAGGUGAAAUCAUCUCAAGGGGAAGAAUGGAUGGUGUUUGUUUCUACGUGUCUAAGUAUUCUGAUGCCUACUAAGAGACCCCAAGUCUUUAAUGGUUCUCUUCUUUUGCUGAUAACAGGAAAUGAACUCAGAGCUAACAACCCUUGAGAAGAGCCCGUAAUCAAUAUUUAUACCCUCUCUCACAACCCCAAAUAGUUCUUCUCUGAGCCUGCACUCCUCCAAGUGGGAUUUAGUUCUCCUCCUGUGACUGAAGCCUGACCUGAGGACCCCUCCGGAUCCUGCCCCACCACACAUGUGCUGGCUUUUCAACUUCAUCCUCCAGCCUCUCCCACCUGCCCGCCACAGAUAUCCCAUCACCCUCGUGUGUGCUGACUGCGCGCUGGCAUGUGUUGGUGUUCUUAACUUCCGUGCCCUGGAAUGGGACCAGAUGUGGAGAUGAGGUCUUUUAAGAGGUACCAAGAAAGAUGCAUGGAAAUGUGCAAACCAGGCAGACGGCAAAGAAAGGGGUCAGUAGCAGGCUUCGUGUGGAUUUCUCCAGCUCAGGAGACCACUUCUGUGGGCCCAGCAGCACCCCGCACCCCUGAGAGGCUCAAUACACAGGCACUGAAUGAGUGAAUUGGAAGACCAGCCGGGCAGCUGCUCCUCGGCCAAAGACAAAUACCUAGAAUGUAUAAGGGACUGAAAAAAUAAUCAGACUGCCCAAAAUAAAAGAUCUAAUAAAAAAAUGGGCAAGAGAAACAAACAGUUGCCUCUCAGAAGUACAAAUGGCCAACAAGCAUAUGAAGAAAUGCUUAGCAUCGCUAAGCUUUACAGAAAUGAGAUUAAAACAACCCUGGAACUUCAUUUUACUACAGGAAGCUUGGCUCUCAUCAAGAAAUCAAACAAUAACAAGUACUGGAGAGGCUGUGGGGAAAAGGAACUCUUCUACUAUGUUGGUGGGAGUAUAUGUUAGUACAAGUACCAUGGAAUUCAGUAUGGAGAUUUUUCAAAAAACUAAAACUACAAA